AGCAAUCUAUACGGUGAAACUGCGAAUGGCUCAUUAAAUCAGUUAUCGUUUAUUUGAUAGUACCUUACUACUUGGAUAACCGUGGUAAUUCUAGAGCUAAUACAUGCUAAAAACCCCGACUUCGGGAGGGGUGUAUUUAUUAGAUAAAAAACCAACGCCCUUCGGGGCUCCUUGGUGAUUCAUAAUAACUAAACGAAUCGCAUGGCCUUGCGCCGGCGAUGGUUCAUUCAAAUUUCUGCCCUAUCAACUUUCGAUGGUAGGAUAGUGGCCUACCAUGGUAUCAACGGGUAACGGGGAAUUAGGGUUCUAUUCCGGAGAGGGAGCCUGAGAAACGGCUACCACAUCCAAGGAAGGCAGCAGGCGCGCAAAUUACCCAAUCCCGACACGGGGAGGUAGUGACAAUAAAUACUGAUACAGGGCUCUUACGGGUCUUGUAAUUGGAAUGAGUACAAUUUAAAUCCCUUAACGAGGAACAAUUGGAGGGCAAGUCUGGUGCCAGCAGCCGCGGUAAUUCCAGCUCCAAUAGCGUAUAUUAAAGUUGUUGCAGUUAAAAAGCUCGUAGUUGAACCUUGGGCCUGGCUGGCCGGUCCGCCUCACCGCGUGCACUGGUCCGGCCGGGCCUUUCCUUCUGGGGAUCCGCAUGCCCUUUACUGGGUGUGUCGGGGAACCAGGACUUUUACUUUGAAAAAAUUAGAGUGUUCAAAGCAGGCCUUCGCUCGAAUACAUUAGCAUGGAAUAAUAGAAUAGGACGUGCGGUUCUAUUUUGUUGGUUUCUAGGACCGCCGUAAUGAUUAAUAGGGAUAGUCGGGGGCAUCAGUAUUCAAUUGUCAGAGGUGAAAUUCUUGGAUUUAUUGAAGACUAACUACUGCGAAAGCAUUUGCCAAGGAUGUUUUCAUUAAUCAGUGAACGAAAGUUAGGGGAUCGAAGACGAUCAGAUACCGUCGUAGUCUUAACCAUAAACUAUGCCGACUAGGGAUCGGGCGAUGUUACUAUUCUGACUCGCUCGGCACCUUACGAGAAAUCAAAGUC
rnacentral:rRNA from 1 species